AGUAUAAUAAUAUUUAAAUUUACAUAUAUUUUUCACGUUUUCAAUGCCAAUUUUGUGUAAUGGCAAAGUUUCCCACUACCCGUGAAUGCCUCUUUUUUAUGUCUCUGGCUGACUCCUUAAUCUCCGCCCAGUCUCUGCUCCAUCCCUGCCGAGUGAACGAGAUCUUUGGUUUUGCCUUUGCUGACUGCUGAUCUGAUCGUCUCAAGUCUGGUGACCUGCUGCAGAAUACCCUCUCCCUCUAUCAUUAACAAGCAAUUCAGUCUGUCCUAUCACUCUCCCUCUCCCUGCUCCAUCUUUUUUGACAAGCCAUUCUAUCUUCUAUCAUUUCUCCGCCAUGAGCUCUAUCUAAGUUGACAAGCUUGAACCUGAGUUGAAACGCAAUCCUGUGACUUGAAAUCAAGUUUUACCAGAAUCUAAGUUUUUGGAAUUGAAGUUACCAGAACUUCGUCGAUCUGUUUUCAGAAUUCUGAGAGAUCUCUGCUCUCACUGCUCCAUCUUUCCUGUCGUUAAACUCUCUCACAUCCAGUCAUUUUGCUGGAAAUCACAAGUAGAAACUUGAAAUUACAGUAGUAGAAUUACACUACAGUAGAACUCACAGUAGAAACUACUUACACAGUCCUACAUUUGUCAUUUUAAUUUUUACAUUACACUUUGGAAUAAACACUGAUAGCUUGGCUUACGUGUGCAGUUACUUUGAUAAAUUAUAUAAAAUACACACCUUUUUCAAGGUUUAUUUGUAAUAAGAUAAUCUGGUUAUUUUGUAAUACAUACAUUCAGACUGUUAUAUUCACAUAGAUAAUAAAUUGGAUUCAAAUAUAUUUUUCAAGUCUGUUUCAUUGGCUAUAACAUUUGACUGCAAGUUUAUACUAUUAUUAUUUAAGGACAAACCCUUUUUUGUCACUCUGUAAGUAUUCAGUUACAAUUGUCAUCUAGAGGCUGCCCUGAGAACCCAGACUUCCUGUUUCCUGACUGCUGCAGAACAUCCAGCUGAAGAAUCUUCAUCGCCUGUCAUCUGAUCACCACACCAUCACUCAUAUUUGCUUAAAAUAUUAGAUAUCUUAAAGAUUUACACAAAGUCUACUUAAAAGUUAAGAGUUUUAUUAUAGACUGUUGAUUGUUGAGAUUUAUUCUGUAUAUUGCUUUACAGAAGUAUAGACCUAUUUGUUAUCCAGUCUGGUUAAAAAAAAUAGAAGUAACAAUAUACAGUUUUUGAAAAAGCUACAAUAAAACUGUUUUUAAAGAACUUUCAAUAAGUUUUAUAUAGAG